CUACUUCGCUUAGGAACCAGUCUUUUACGGGUAGACUCACACCUUAGAGUAUCAAGGGCACUCUUAAGAACCUCUAACUUUUACGGGUAAGUUAGUACCUUAGAGUAUCAAGGAACUCUUAAAAACCUCUGAAAUCUUUAAAGGUAGACUCGACCUAAGAGUUUUCCCGGAAACUCUAUAAAACCAAACUAGAGCUUUAUGGUUGAGCUCAAAAAUCUUCUCUCACACUUUGAUACUAUUGAGACAACCCUCUCAACCAAAGUGGACACACACAAGAGGUGAUUAGAGGAGUGGAAUAUUAAAGCAAACAACACUUCUUACUUGUAAAGAUGAACAAGAAGAUUAGAAGAAGAAGUUGGAGAGCUUUUGAAGCUUUGGAAAGCUAGGACACUUGAGCACUUGAAAGCUUGGAAGCUUUGAGGCAAAAACGUGUGGGCAAGUGUGGAGUGAAAGCUCUUGAGUUUGCUUGUAGUGUGGUGAGUGAAAAUGAGGAGAUUACCCUUCUAUUUAUAGCCUUGGCCACUCAAUGUCCACCCUUGGAUCUUCAAUGGAUGGCUCCUUGAUUUCUCACAUAAAUCCAAGCUUUGUCUUUGAUCUUAUCUUG
rnacentral:lncRNA from 1 species